GGGCCUUGGGAGGAGGGUCCCGUAGGGUCAUUUAGAGAGGACAGCCCUUCCUGGGGGCGGGAGGAGUGUCUUGAGGAGGCUGGCAUAAAGAGGUGUGACCAGACUUGGGAAAGCGAUGUGGGUGGGGAGUGCCGUCUGUGGGGACACGCGUGCCGACUGAAGUUCUGACCUGAGAGAUUUCACCCUGUGGACCUCUGGCCCCCUGGGCGGGAGAACUCUGCAUGUAGGGUAGGAAGAGCCUUCGCGGACCGGUCGUGUGGUGCCGUCUUGAACCUGAACCUUCUCCUCCGAUGGUUAUUUGCAGUCCCUUCCACUUUUUUCUGAUGUUUACUUAAGUAUAUUGUGGUUGAUACUUCACUUACUUCCUUUCUAUCUUGACGCCCCCUACUGUCGGAGAUCGUGCUUCGUAAUAGUUGAUGGAUUUUUUACAGCAACUGGUAGACGUGCUCAAUAAGGUAUCUGUGGGUUGGUUUAAGAUCAGCCUUUUAUUACUAAAACUGAAUAAGCCAUUUGAUCUCUGUCUUACCCUUUUUGUGUCCCUGCCAGUGGACUCUUAGUGUUGAGGUGGCCUAAGAUCAGGUGGCAGGGCUGAGAUGGGGCCCUGGGUGCUGCACAGUAGCACCGAAAUCAGUAGCUGGUUGCCUGUCUUUAGAACUGGAGGAGAGUAGGGGCGCCUGGGUGGCUCAGUUGGUUAAGCGUCCAACUUUGGCUCAGGUCAUGAUCUCGCGGUUUGUGAGUUCGAGCCCCACGUCGGGCUCUGUGCUGCCAGCUCACAGCCUGGAGCCUGCUUCAGAUUCUAUGUUUCCCUCUCUCUCUGCCCCUCUCCCACUCACACUCUGUCUCUCUCUCCUUCAAAAAUAAAUAAACGUUAAAAAAAAUUUUUUUAAAGAAAAAAAAAAACUGGAGGAGAGUGUUAAUAAGUGUGUGCAUUGUUCCUGAAUCUGUCAGCUCUAGAGUUCUAAAACAAAGGACUUGUUCAUUGCCUUGUGGCACUUCUGGACCAGGAUUAACCAGGCUAGCUUGGUGGGUUUUGUUUUAGUUUUUAAUAUUUAUUUAUUUUUGAGAGAGAACGAGAAAGGGAGAGAGAGAGAACAAGCAGGGGAGGGGCAGAGAGAGAGGGAGACAUAGAAUCCAAAGCAGGCUCCAGGCUCCGAGGGUCAGCACAGAGGCCAGCACGGGGCCUGAACUCAUGAACUGUGAGAUCAUGACCUGAGCCGAAGUCAGGCUUAACUGACUGAGCCACUUGGGUGCCCUGGUGGUUUUUGUUUUUAAAUCAACUUUCUUUAAAUUCUAAAACCUAUACUUGUAGAAAUGGAAAAAUCCAGUUUGGUGCAGGGUGGUGUGGUUACUUGCCAGUGACUUGGGAGCUGUCUUUGGCUCAGCGGGGAGCCUGUUCUUGAGAUUCCAGCUCUCAGCUGGAGGCUCACUCACACACUUGCUGCGCUCAGCCUCCAGCUCCAGCUCUCCCACAGCUGAGACUCCCGGAGGCCAGCAGCUGGCCAGGGCAUGUGUAUCGGGUAGAGCAGACCCCACGUCAACCUUCCUAGACAUGGUUCCCUGGAUGGCUGAGGUCCUACUCUGGCAUGGCGUCCCAGGUCAGCCUCACAGCACCCAAUGGGGCCUUCCUAGUUCCCCUCUCUGAGAGUUUUCCGGUUGUGCUUCAGAUCUCAGCUAUUUACUGGGAUCCAGACCCGUGUUGCCUUUGUUGUUUAUUCACCCAUAUUCAGUUUUUGUCAUGCCUGACAGGACAUCAGCAUCUUUAUACCACAGAUGUGUUGCUGAGCCACUGGCAGGUGGGCAAGGGAUUUCAAAUUUAAAAUGAAAAGCCUGGGUGGUUCAGUCCGUUAAGCAUCUGACUUCAGCUCAGGUCAUGAUCUCACGGUUUGUGAGUUUGUGAGUUUGAGCCCCAUGUUGGGUUCUGUGCUAACAGCUGGGAGCCUGGAGCCUGCUUUUUGGAUUCUGUGUCUUUCUGUCCGCCCCUCCCCUGCUCGUGCUGUCUGUCAAAAAUAAAAAACACACAUUAAAAAAAAAAAUUAUAAGAUGAAAAGCCCAAAUGACUGUAAAAUGUGAUUCCUGAGCAGUUGGAGACCUAGUUUUUCCUUCUGUUUGUUGAUUUUUCUGCAUUUGUUACAUGCUGUGAUUCAGCCCCUCUUUCAUGCAUUUAGCAGGUAUUAAUUAAGUCCGUACUUUGUUCUGUGCUCUGGGGAUAUGCAUUCUCGUUCUCUCUGGGCUUGGGGAGAUUUUGAGAUGUUGGACUUUAGUUUCUCUGUAUACAACAAAUUUGAUGAGUUGAUCUGUACCCAAAGCUAUGAGGGUCAGUCAGCAUUUAUUGAAGGUGAUUGUUAGUGAUUAGGGUCGAUUACGUAACUUUCGUGGGAUAUAUGUCCCGUGUGACCGCAUCACUGGCUGGCUGGUUCUCAAAAAGUAUUUGUAGUGUUUUCCAACCAUGUAAUUCUUUUAGAAUGGAGAGAAUGGAUUUAUGUGGAAUCAGAGCUCAUACUGAAAUGCCAUCCAAGCAGUAAUGCUGUAUUGGAUUAAUUCAGCAAAAUUUUUAACUUACAGUGUUUUCUAAAAUCCAUUUGUCCCCACAGACCAGUCCAUUCCAGCCCUUGCUGUUCUGCAGAUAUUCUGAUGAGGGUGUUGUGAAGGAGUAGGCUUUGUCAGCAUUCUAAUGAAGUAUUUGAAGUAGAGGAUGUUGGCUUUCCGUCAGGAGGGGGAGCACAGUUCUAGAGCACAUCGCUUGUUGGAGAGCACAAUGAGCUUAAUAUAGAAGGUUCUCUUGCCUGAUUAGCCAAGAUGAGAGCUGGCCCCUGCUUGUUCCUAUGCCACGCAAUCAAGACUGUUCCAGGGAACAUGCUGCAUCUUCUGUGAUGUGCUUUGGCAAACUGUCGUUCAGUUCAGUUCCAAAAGAAUGCCUAUUUGUGUUCCUGAACGCCACACAAUACGUGUGGAGACCCUGGCAAACCCUAGAGGGAGAGAAGCCAGCCACAGUGGAGAAAUCUGUUCUCUGUUGGAGGCCCGUCGUCCGCUCUGAAAUUACUAGCUUUGUUUCUCCGUGAAUCGUAUGAAUUUGGAUAAGUAAAAUAUCUUCGUAUCGUUUUAUUUUUUUAAUUAUUUAUCUUUGAGAGAGCACAAGCGAGGGAGGGGCAGACGGAGGAUCUGAAGCGGGCUCUGUGCUCCCGGCUGACAGCAGCGAGCCUGAUGUGGGGCUCAAACCCACGGAAUGUGAGAUCAUGGCCUGAGCUGAAGUCGGAUGCUCAACCAGCUGAGCCACCCAGGUGCCCCUGAUGAAGUUUUAAGAAAGUCUUGGGAUAUUUGAGCUGGGGCCUGGAAGAUGAUAGGAUUUCAGUAGGUAGCAGAUGAGGAGGGAAGGACAUUAUAGACGGAGACAGUUCGAUGCCAGGAAGCACGCGUGCAAGGGAGCCCGGUAGGUUUGGUGUACGGUGUGGGUGAUAAAGCAGGGAAGUGGGGGCGGGGGGCAGCCUACAGAGGUCCUUAUCAGUCAGCCUGGGUAUUAUCCUUCCGACAGAGCCUUCGGAGGAUGUCUGGCAAGGAACUAAUACAAGGAGACUUGAUGUUAGGAAGGUAACUGCUGGCAGUUAGGAUGAUGGGUUUGGAGAGAGGUGAGGCUGGAGGCGGGAAGCAGGGUAGAAAUGUGUGUGGUAAUCCGGGAGAAAGCUCAUGGAGGGUGGGAGAGUAGCCAUGGGCAUGGCGGGUGCAGGAGACACUUCAAGGGUAGCGUCCGGGUGCCUGGGGGGCUCAGUCGGUUAAGCGUCCGAUUCUUGAUUUCGGCUCAGGUCAUGAUCUCAUGGGUUCGUGAGAUCGAGCCCCACGUCAGGCUCUGUGCUGCCAGCAUGGAGCCUGCUUGAGAUUCUCUCUCCCUCUUUUUCUGCCCCUCCCCGCUCACGCACGCACGUGUGUACUCUCUCUCUCUCUCUCUC